rnacentral:rRNA from 1 species
GAUGAACGCUGGCGGCGUGCCUAAUACAUGCAAGUCGAGCGAAUGGAUUAAGAGCUUGCUCUUAUGAAGUUAGCGGCGGACGGGUGAGUAACACGUGGGUAACCUGCCCAUAAGACUGGGAUAACUCCGGGAAACCGGGGCUAAUACCGGAUAACAUUUUGAACCGCAUGGUUCGAAAUUGAAAGGCGGCUUCGGCUGUCACUUCUGGAUGGACCCGCGUCGGAUUAGCUAGCUGGUGAGGGAACGGCUCAACAAGGCAACGAUGCGUAGCCGACCUGGGAGGGUGAACGGCCACACUGGGAAUGAGACACGGCCCAGAAUCCUACGGGAGGCAGCAGUAGGGAAUCUUCCGCAAUGGACGAAAGUCUGACGGAGCAACGCCGCGUGAGUGAUGAAGGCUUUCGGGUCGUAAAACUCUGUUGUUAGGGAAGAACAAGUGCUAGUUGAAUAAGCUGGCACCUUGACGGUACCUAACCAGAAAGCCACGGCUAACUACGUGCCAGCAGCCGCGGUAA